GGAUUAGAUUAAUUGUAAAUAAAGCAGUCCUCCUUAGAGGGGGGGUGGUGGAGGGAAUAUUUAAGAAAUAAAAAUAGGAUUAAUUCAGAAGGUUAAGAUAAGAUUGUAUAACAUAGGGCUACAGUGAAGAAAUCAAAAAUUUCAAGGCAGCAUGAAGGUAACGCACAAUCAGGGAUGUGCAAUUUCUGAGGCAUGUAUUCAAAAAAAGUAUUUUAAUUGUGUUUUAUGAUUCAUAUUUGACUUAGUUCAUGAAAUAAAAUGUUUUUUUCUACA